GGCCAACUGGACUCAAAUCUACAUCUCCCAUAUGAGCACAACAGCUCAACAAGUGAUGCUAAACCUGUCAGGACAAAUCUCCAAAAAACUUUUCUUGUUUUAAAUGGGAGAAAUGAAAGCUAUACAGGGUUUUGGCUGUAUUGUCAGGGAACAUCAUACCCAGAGACAGAUGUUAGUUUCAAACCACCAUUAAGGUGCCAACCAAUUCUUCACAAUUCUCCACCGAUUCUUAUUAAGGUGCAGGAAAGACAAUCAGGGUGAAGAGGAGAUCGUGAAGAUGGAUCAGAGGAUGAACGGAGGACACUCCUCGUUGAUGUCAGAGCAUUAGAAUUCAGUGGGAUUCACAAGGAGAAGAAUCACAAGAACGUUGAAGCAUCACUGGGAGAGUCUUA